GAUGAACGCUAGCGAUAGGCCUAACACAUGCAAGUCGAGGGGCAUCACAUGAAGUAGCAAUACGGAUGGUGGCGACCGGCGCACGGGUGAGUAAAACACGUAUGCAACCUGCCUUCAACAAGGGGAUAACCCGUUGAAAGACGGACUAAUACCCUAUAACACAGGGGUCCCGCAUGGGAAUAUUUGUUAAAGGACAACCGGUUGAAGAUGGGCAUGCGUUCCAUUAGCUAGUUGGCGGGGUAACGGCCCACCAAGGCAACGAUGGAUAGGGGAACUGAGAGGUUUAUCCCCCACACUGGUACUGAGACACGGACCAGACUCCUACGGGAGGCAGCAGUGAGGAAUAUUGGUCAAUGGACGCAAGUCUGAACCAGCCACGUCGCGUGAAGGAAGACGGCCCUACGGGUUGUAAACUUCUUUUAUACGGGAAUAAAGUGCCCCACGCGUGGGGUUUUGCAUGUACCGUAUGAAUAAGGAUCGGCUAACUCCGUG
rnacentral:rRNA from 1 species